ensembl:lncRNA
AUUUCUGUGCAGUGCCCACGUCCCGCGCUUUUACGCACGGUCUCUUUGCAUUAAUGCAGAAACGUUGUUAUGGUGUUAUGAUACUAGCUUACUCGGUUUUUUAUAAUCAAUUAAAAAUAAGAAAUUAAACUUGUUUACAUUUUGUUUCAUGGCUAGAAUUUGUGAUAUAAAGCGAAUUAGAAUUCCACUCCAAUUCGAAACAAUGUGUAAAGACGUAUUCCAUCUCUAUGCGACCGAGAGGGUCACAAUGCCGACGCUUCACAUGGAACUCCAGAACCCAAGAUAUAUGUCCAGAACACUCAAAAAAUCUUCAGUUCUUGAUCGACAAACACCGAGAGAGACAGCAUUAUUAUGGCAAGCUUUUCAUUCAUCUUCCCCGAAGACAGACGUUGUUCCAUUAAGGACAACGAAGUCAAUUCAGGGUGGAUGUCAACACGGUAACCAAACUCAACACCCUUGGCGGUCCAGAGUCAGAGAGUCAGAACAUCCAUCAGUGCGUUGCAGAUGUACUUGGUAACAAGUACCACUACGCGAAUGCCAUUGACAGCUCUCUGCUCUGGACCGUUGGGUACACCCCCUACAUUCCCCCAGCUCUGAAAGGAAGAAGCUUCCCCUCUGUCGAGAGCUUCUUCCUGGAUGAGUGGGAGCCACUGACACUCCUGCAGACUCCUCAGGUUCUGUCCACCAGUGUUUCCAUCAAGGAAGACAACCUGAUCCAGUCUGCUGCAGGCCUAGUGUCUCUGGUUCUGUCAUCCAGUGUUGCCAUCAUGGAGAAUGACCUGAUCCAGUCUGCUGCAGGCCUAGUGUCUCAGAUUCUGUCCACCAGUGUUGCCAUCGUGGAGAAUGACCUGAUCCAGUCUGCUGCAGGCCUAGUGUCUCAGAUUCUGUCCACCAGUGUUGCCAUCGUGGAUAAUGACCUGAUCCAGUCUGCUGCAGGCCUAGUGUCUCUGGUUCUGUCCAGCAGUGACGCUAGAGUGAAGGAUCGUAUUGAUUCCACACUGAGAGACUCCAACCAACCUGAGGUCCAUGUGGCUGAUGUCUCAACCGAGAGAAGUAGACUAGUCAUCACUAUUUCUAUGUUUUCAAUAGAGAGUUGCAAUGCUUUGGUCCAUGAAGUUGAUGCUAUUGCUACCAGCCUGGAGCACCCGGCUGAGAAAAUGUCUACCUCUACCGCUGAUGGCCACUUCGUUUCAUCCACUGCUGUUGCCAAUCAGAAGAAAACAAGGGGUGAAUUCGUCUCAUCUUUACGGAGACUGUUCACGAGAAAGAACAGGAAGCCUGCUAAAGUGUCUUCCAAGAAGGAGCACAUUCACUUGGUUGACCGCCUCAAUGCUGAAGUCACCCACUGAGGGCACUCACUCACUGCUGAAAGCAUCCAGAAUGAUGCUUCUGUUUCUCCUCAACGCCACCUACACCCCUGCCCCUCUCCCCCACACCAAACCCUACCAGGGUAGGGUUGAAUUCCAGAUCAAUUCAGUCAAUUCAAGAAGUAAACUGAAAUUCCAAUUCCAAUUGUUUCUCAUAGGAGGCAUUGAGGUAAAUUUGAAUUGCUAUUGGAAUUUCAGUUUACUUUCUGAAUUGACUGAAUUGAAAAUGAAUUGACCCCAACCCUGAUCCCUAAGCCUCCACCCCAUCCAUUUCUAUCUUCAGUAAAUUUUGUAGAAUUUUAUUUGAAUGUGUUUUGUAUCUUCAUUAAAACCACAAUGCAUCUCUAAUGAGAGUCACUCAUGUUACACAUCUAGAUUCAUCAUCAAAUAUUAACGCAACAUGUAAAGUGUUGGUACCAUGUUUCAUGAGCUGAUAUAAAAUCCCAUUAUUAUUCCAUAUGUACAAA